GACGAACGCUGGCGGCGUGCUUAACACAUGCAAGUCGAACGGAAAGGCCCUGCUUUUGUGGGGUGCUCGAGUGGCGAACGGGUGAGUAACACGUGAGUAACCCGCACUUGACUUUGGGAUAACUUCAGGAAACUGGGGCUAAUACCGGAUAGGAGCUCCUGCUGCAUGGUGGGGGUUGGAAAGUUUCGGCGGUUGGGGAUGGACUCGCGGCUUAUCCGCUUGUUGGUGGGGUAGUGGCUUACCAAGGCUUUGACGGGUAGCCGGCCUGAGAGGGUGACCGGCCACAUUGGGACUGAGAUACGGCCCAGACUCCUACGGGAGGCAGCAGGGGAGAAUAUUGCACAGUGGGCGGAAGCCUGAUGCAGCAACGCCGCGUGCGGGAUGACGGCCUUCGGGUUGUAAACCGCUUUCGCCUGUGACGAAGCGUGAGUGACGGUAAUGGGUAAAGAAGCACCGGCUAACUACGUG
rnacentral:rRNA from 1 species